rnacentral:rRNA from 1 species
CGGAGGGAAAGCCACACUGUGAGUGCGGCGCUCUUUGAUGAGCUCAUGUCCUAUCAGCUUGUUGGUAGGGUAACGGCCUACCAAGGCUUUGACGGGUAGCUGGUCUGAGAGGACGAUCAGCCACACUGGCACUGCGACACGGGCCAGACUCCUACGGGAGGCAGCAGUAAGGAAUAUUGCGCAAUGGGCGAAAGCCUGACGCAGCGACGCCGCGUGGGGGAUGAAGGUCUUCGGAUUGUAAACCCCUUUCGGGAGGGAAGAUGGAGCGAGCAAUCGUUCGGACGGUACCUCCAGAAGCAGCCACGGCCAACUUCGUGCCAGCAGCCGCGGUAAUACGAAGGUGGCAAGCGUUGUUCGGAUUCACUGGGCGUACAGGGUGUGUAGGCGGUUUGGUAAGCCUUCUGUUAAAGCUUCGGGCCCAACCCGGAAAGCGCAGAGGGUACUGCCAGGCUAGAGGGUGGGAGAGGAGCGCGGAAUUCCCGGUGUAGCGGUGAAAUGCGUAGAGAUCGGGAGGAAGGCCGGUG